rnacentral:lncRNA from 1 species
CACACCUCGCAGGGGAUUGCAGCAUAUUGGCGCGUCCCAGGCAGCAGAUGAGAACUUCUGCCCUGAGCCAUGGGGAGCCCCUGGAGUGCUUUCAACAGAAAAGAGGCAGCUCCACAAUCUGCAUUUGAGAGACACAGCCUGGCAGCGCUGUGAAAGGUGAGUUUCUGCCCCUUGGUCGCGGACCCCCUGUCCUAGCCCACUUCUCUGUCCCUUAAGCCCCUUUACAUAUUUUCAUCUCUCAGUCUCACCUUCCAGAAUGAGAAGAUCAAAAACUGUACCCUGCUCAGUGGCUUGGGAUCCCUGUUUCUUUGAGGGCGGAUUGUUAAACAACACGGAAUAUGCCAAACACAUGCAUCACAGAUCCCACGCAGAGCCGCGGAAGGGUGUGAACUGAAUGAGGCAGUAUCCUGGUAAGAGCUGCAAGAGUCUCCUCUCCUCUCCAAUCUCCCAGGCAGGAACCAAUGGACACUGGGGCGAAGGUGCAUGCGAGGUGGGCAUAGCAGCUGCCCAUUGUUUUUGUGUGAAAAUUCAUGGAAUAAUGCAAUGUCUGAGUGGCCCUGUUAGAAUGCAAAGGCAUGAUUUACUCUCCAAAACAAAGCAGGUCACUAACCUGCUUGAUCUUUAUAGGGAAGACUUCUGCCCACUGGCAGUGAGACUGACAUCCAGCCUACCCCCCCUCACCUUCCCCCCACCCCCAC